GACAGGUCAAUGGGAAUAGAGCUCAAGAUACAUGGAGAGAUUAAAGCAAGUUAAGAAUGACAAGUACGGCAUGAUACAAAUAAAACACCAAAUGAUCUAUGCAUUUUCUAUGAAUUUGUAACUGUAUGUAAAGGCAGUUUAUUUUAUUUUAUUUUAUUUUAAAUUGAAGUAGAGUUGAUUUACAAUGUUGUGUUAGUUUCAGGUGUACAGCACAGUUAUACAUAAAUAUACAUAUAUAUUUUUUUCAGAUUCUUUUCCCUUAUAGGUAACUAUAAAAUAUUGAGUAUAGGUCCCUGUGCUAUACUGCAAAUGCAUUUUAAAUGGGCUCAAAGGAGACACCACAAAGCGACCACCAUGGUUUCAUGGUAGGGGUGUCACUGCAAUACAUGGGGCUGGACCAGGGGAAUUCUAAUUAUAUCUAUAAAGUUCUGAUUUUUUUAAGGGCUAAUAUAUUUAUAUACUGUUUUCUUUAAUACACACAGAGCAAACAGACUGGGAGCAAAUAUGCCAAAAUAUCAGUGAUGGCCGAUUCUGGGUGGUGGAAAUAGGUGAGUCCCAUGUUGUAUAUCAGGUGCUGGGCCAGGAGAGGUGAGGGAGGAGGCUCCUGAGGCUGGACCUGGCCAUGCUGUGCCCAGGAUGGGAGCAGCACAGCCCGCAGAGGGUGCAGGAGAACUAGCGGGCCUUCUCGACAGCGAUGGAGCUCAAGGCUCCCAUGCACCUGGUCACGCGACUGCCCGUGGGACCUCAGCACAGGGAGCCACGGUGAGAGCAGCAGGUGGAAUUCAAAGCAGCCCACAGCACCCCCAAGUGACCGUGCCUGGGCUGAACUGCUGGAGGAGAGGCAACCACAUGCGGCAGAGGUGAGCCAUCCUUCUGGCCAGUUCAGACCUUCCAGUCCCAGUCAAACCUCUGGAAAAAGCUAAGACUGGCCCAGAUCAACAGAACAGUCAGCCAACCCAUGGUCUUGGGAGAAGUGAUGAUGGUUGGUUUAAGCUCCUAAAAUGUAGAUUGCUAUGUAGCCAUAGCUAACUAAUUCAGGUAUAUUUGCUUUCUCUCAUAUUUGUCUAUGGGUUUUCUUUGCAUGGUUAUGAUUAUACACAAUUGGAUAACUUGCUAUCUUUCAUUUAACUUUAUAUUCAAAGUAUGUUUCCUUGUAAGUACAUGUUUUUACGACCAUCAUUUUAAUAAUUCAAGAAUAAAUGUUUAAAACUAGGGAUUGGCAAACCACGGUCCCUGGGGCAAAUCCAGCCCAUCACCUGUUCUUAUAAAUAAAGUUUUAUUGGAACACAGCAUUGCACACAUCUAUGGGUGCUUUUUUUAAAAAAAAUAUUUAUUUAUUUAUUUAUUUGGCUGCAUCUGGUCUUAGUUGCAGCACGCAGGAUCUUUGUUGCAGUGUAUGUGUUUCUCUCUAGUUGUGGCACGAGGGCUCAGUAGUUGCGGUGCAUGGGCUUAGUUGCCCUUCAGAAUGUGGGAUCUUAGUUCCCCGACCAGGGAUCAAACCCACGUCCUUUGCCCUGAAAGGCAGAUCCUUAACCACUGGACCACCAGGGAAGUCCCUAUGGCUGCUUUUGUACUACAAUGGCAGAUUGAAUAGUUGCAACAGACACCAUAUGGUUCAACCAGCUGAAAAUAUUUAUUAUCUAGCCGUUUUCAGAAAACAUUUGGCAACCCCUGUUUUAAACAUGCUUUUGCCAAAUUCUUUUCAAAAGGAUUGUCAUGGAAGAGCAUCAGUCUUUCUACAUCCAGGACAACAUUCAGUGCUUGUUUGUUUGUUUUUGCUUUCAUAUUUACACAUUUUAAAAAAUGAGAAACAUAGUAUCUUCCUGUUUCCCUUUGAAUUUCUUAGAAUACUAGUGAGCCUGUAUAUUUUUUUCAUUUUUUAAUUAAUUAAUUAAUUUAUUUAUUUAUUUAGGUGGUAUGCGGGCCUCUCACUGCUGUGGCCUCUCCCGUUGCAAAGCACAGGCUCCGGACGCGCAGGCUCAGCGGCCAUGGCUCACGGGCCCAGCCGCUCCGCGGCAUGUGGGAUCUUCCCAGACCGGAGCACAAACCCGUGUCCCCUGCAUCCGCAGGCGGAUUCUCAACCAGUGCGCCACCAGGGAAGCCCGUUAAUUUAUUUUUUAAAUCACUUCUUUAGAGAAUUUUCUGUUGCUCAUUUAUUUACUGGAAGAUUGUUUUUUUAUUUGUUUAGUUUGCCAAUUUAUGUGAGCUCUUUAUGUAAUUAAAGUAUCAAUAUUAAUCAAUUUCUUUCUUAUUGGUCAUAACUUCUAAAAAACCCUUGCAGAGGCAUUUCUGUGAUUUAUUCAUCAGGUGACUGUGCAGUUCCCUCAACCUCACUGAACUUCAGUUUCCUCAUCUACAGGCAGAAACAGUUAUUUUUUUCAUAGUGUUCUUCUGAAAACUUGAUGAAAGCCGAAAACUACUAAAGAACUGAUAGUUAUUAUUGGUAUUAUUAUUAUCCAUGAGAACAAACUAGCAGAAAUUAAAACAUCCAAUGCAUUCUGCCUGACUUGAAGGAUGAUAUAGAACAGUGGUUCUUAAACCGUGUUCCGUGAACCCUAAUGUAGCAGUCAGGAUUCCUUCAGUUGUUAAGUGAGAGAAAGCCCAGUUCAAACAGGCUUAAGCUAAGUAGGAAAUCUAUAAGCUCAGGUAACUGUAAAGUACAGGGUUGCAGGUACAGCCAGAUCCAGGAGUCCAAACAAUGUCAUUAGUCCUUGCUUACUUUCUCUCCAUCUCUUGAGUCUGCUAUCCUCUGAUUUGGCUUUAUCAGGAAGGCUCUCUUCUGUGGAUGCCCACAGAUUCUGGCUUUCACUCAACCUGCCCAGCAACUCCAGAACAAAGAGCAGAUUUCUUAUUCGGUGCUUCUAGGAAAAGUUCUAGCGCUGGACUCUGGACCAACACAGGUCACGUGCCUUUCCAGAGCCAAUCACUGCAGCCAGAGUGUGGCACUGGCUGAUUGACUAGGUCUGGUGCAUGGAACCGCUGCCUGAGAAUGGGUAAGGUUGGGUCCCCAGAGGAAAAUCAGGAUCUGUUACCAAAGAGGACAUGAGUAUGGGCAGGCAGAACCAGAUAUCUCUGGAGGUGCCUGGUGGGGCACACUGGGAGCUGGGGUACCCUGCUUUCCUCCCUCACUUCAGCCAGAUUAACUUCCUGUUCAUCUGUUUUAUAUUGUGGGCCUGCCACUAAGAUUUUAUUUGGAGAACAGCUGCUCCUGCUAAGUGAGUUUGGACAUCUGUGAUAUAGACAAAGGGAAACAUGUCCAGAGAGGGGGCUGUGGAUAUGAGGGCCCUGAACCCACUUUUUGCAAGUGACCAUUGAGGAACCAGCAGCAAGGAGACUCUGAGGACAUGGCACUGCAUUCCUGGAACAAGCAUUUAUUGGGCAUGUACUGUGUGCUAGACCUGAGAUUAUAGCGGGAACAAGAAGACCCAUCCCUGGCGGAAGACUCACAUUCUGAUUAGGCAGACAGCAACAUGUGACUAGUUGCAAAAAGUUUGCUCAAGGCCAAGGAACAUCUGCACGUGCGUGUGCCCAUUCGCUGAAUAUACAUUUAUUACCACCUGCUCUGAGCCCAGUUCCUGUAACAAUAAUAGUUACCGUGAGGCCCAAGUGUGAUGUCCCGGCCCGCAGAUGAGGAGACCCAAGCUCUGAGAGGCUCCAGAACCAGUGCGAGUUCACCCACCCUAGGAGCCCUGGAUCUGAGGUUUAACCGAAGACUGAUUUCAAAGCCUGGGCUAUGACCAGUGACAACAUCACCGCAGCUGCCAAAGGGACAUUGCUCUGGGGAUUAAACCAGAUGAUCAUAUGGUCAAGUGUCAUGAGCUCAACAAAUGUUGGCUGCCCCCUUUUCCGGACGUUCAGAUGAAGAGAAGCUAUGUCACAGGUGACUGCCCUCCUGGCUUAGGGACUGACAGGGGGCAAUGCCGUGGCCUGAUGGAAUUCCAGCCAAAGAGAGGCACAGGUGUCGUGCCCUGGGAAUUAGAGGAAGGAUGGGUCCUGCCCGCAGAGGGAAUCCAGGUAGGCUGCAUGGAGGAGGGAGCACUGGCUGGCCUUGAGGGAUGGGGAGGAUUUCGGGGAAAGAGAUCCUGCCUAAUCCUAAUGUGCCGAGAAGGAAGUCUGGGCUGCCAUUUUUCCUUUCCAGCCCCUACCCUUCCAGUGGGCAGGGCCUGCCACCCAGGUAGCCCUGGGAUCAAUCCUGUUUGUACCUAUAACCCGUUGCUCUUCCUUCCCCAGACAGCCCCAGUGCCCUCCAGAGGCCAGGCCUGGCUCUGUGGGCCUGAGGACACCCAGGCCGGAGUCCCCGGUCCCUGUUCUUUCCUGGGGUGCCCGUAGUUACUUCUGCCUUCUCUGUCUCUCUGCCUUUGACUAUGAGCCUCCUGAGGUCAAGAAUGGGUCUCAUCCAGUGGCAUAGCCAGGCCCUGGCACUCACCCCAGGGCUGAGAAAGUGCCCAGUAGGCAUUUGUACCAUCUCUCCUCCGUCCUGCCCUCCCUACCCACCAAGAUGUCAUGUGACCCCAAAUCCAAGCCAAAGCGUUCUCUAGCUGGAGCAAGUCACAAAGCAGCUCUGAGCCUCACUUUCCUCAGCUGUAAAAUAGGGAUAAAUCAUCCCUGUUCCACCUUCCCUCCAGAGCUCUUGUAGGUGUCAGAACAAGAUUACUCAGGUGAGAGGCCUUUUGAAAAGUAAGCAGCCCUCUCAGUCUCUUUGUCUCUUUAUAUAUGCACACAGGAAAGGUUUUUUUAAAAAUGAAUUUUAAAAUAUUAGAAUCCUUUGCUCACUUUUUGCCUAUUGAAUGUUUUGUUUUGCCAAAUCCUUUAGAGCUUGAACUCUUGCAUUAACAUUAGAAUUUUUAUAACUCUUUGUACAUUAUCAAAUGUCUUCACAUUGUCAUCUCCACUGACCCUCCCUGCACGGCAAUGGUUUACAUUACCCCAAUAUUACAGCUGAGAAGACAGAGGAUCAGAGAGGUUAAAUGACCUACCCAAGAUCACACAGCAGGAAGAAGGCUUGAACCCACCCACACCUUCUUAUUUCUACUGUUGCAUGAGCUUCCUUGCAUCCUGCUGAGCUCUGAGCAGAGUCCCAGCUGAUUCCUCAGAUCAGUAACUGCUCCCCCAACCCAUAACAAUAAUUCUGACUUUGCCAAGUCUCAAACCUAGGCUAACCUAACCUACGCUAAGAGGGUCUCCACAGCCAGCCUGUAGGCAGGGGUCACCCAGGGCCAGGCUGACCUCAGGGAGGAAGGCAAAGUCCCGCUCUCGAGAGACUCCCAGGUGACGGGACACCGCCAUGGAGGCCAAAGCUCGCAGACUAGCGGUGGGGGGGCCUGCUCUAAAUAUCUCCACCUCUAGAAGGAGCGGCGCUUCUGCAUAAUUGAAGUCCCUGAGGAGCAUGAAUUACUCAUCUCUGCAGUUAUCAGCCACCUCAAGUCUAGGCCACCUGGUAUUUAAGUGGAUGGGGGAGUGGUGUAAAUGUUUACUUGUCCGCCUGUGCCCAGGACAGAUGCAGGCGAAGUCACCUUUAUCUUUAUGGAAAGGGGACAUUUGGACACAGACACGCACACAGAGAGAACAGCAUGUGCUGAAGGUGGAGACUCAAUCUCCGUGAUGCUUCUACAGCCAAGGAUCCCCAGAGAUUGCCAGCAAACCCCCAGGAGGCGGGGGGUGGCCUGUAGCAGAUUCUCCCUCACAGCCUCGGAAGAACCAGCCCCGCUGAUAACUUGAUUCCAGACCUCUGGCCUCCAGAACUGUGAGAUCAUGCAUUUCUGUUGUUAAGCCGCGCAGCCUGUGAUGCUCGGAUACUGCAGCCCCGGGAACUAAUACACCUCCCUGUUAGACAUCGUCAGUGUGAGAAACUCCCACUGAGAUGGGAAGGGGCCCUUAUUCUUGAAAGGCAUGAGGGCUGGGACUGAAGUCUUCCUCACACAUAGGGCUCCUCAGACACCCCUGAGAGCCUGCUGUGGACCCCCUUGUCAACUACAAACUGUCCCUUGCCAUUGGCACUUGCCAUUGAGCUCUACGAGGAUUAAACCAUGAACUGCUGCAGCCGCUGACUUUCAACACCCCCUGAAAGGAGUUCAGGGUGGAGGGCAGAGAUGAGGCCCUCUGUGCUCCGGGAAAAACUGGCAGAACAGGCCUCCUGAUAGUUAGAUAUUUUCAGGAGACGAUUUUAUGAGCUCAAUUCCUGUAUCUCCUCACAUCUAGAAAAGCACUAAAAUCCUUCAUGGUGAUGAUGUCUGCUUCCUCUGACUAGCAGUAACCUUCACGAGAUUAGCAGAAACCUGCAAAAAUAUGUGUCUGACUGCAUGCACUCCCCCUUCUCCAGAAUCGCAUCUAUACUGACCUUUCCCCCACCUCCUUGGAGCAGGUUCUCAGAGCUCUCUGAAAGGCUGUCUCCCCGGCUGUUGUCCUCAUUUUGCCCCAAAUAAAGCUUAACUCAGAACUCUCA